CCUACGGGAGGCAGCAGUGGGGAAUUUUGGACAAUGGGCGAAAGCCUGAUCCAGCAAUGCCGCGUGAGUGAAGAAGGCCUUCGGGUUGUAAAGCUCUUUUGUCAGGGAAGAAACGGUGUGGGCUAAUAUCCUGCACUAAUGACGGUACCUGAAGAAUAAGCACCGGCUAACUACGUGCCAGCAGCCGCGGUAAUACGUAGGGUGCAAGCGUUAAUCGGAAUUACUGGGCGUAAAGCGUGCGCAGGCGGUUUUGUAAGUCUGUCGUGAAAUCCCCGGGCUCAACCUGGGAAUUGCGAUGGAGACUGCAAGGCUAGAAUCUGGCAGAGGGGGGUAGAAUUCCACGUGUAGCAGUGAAAUGCGUAGAGAUGUGGAGGAACACCGAUGGCGAAGGCAGCCCCCUGGGUCAAGAUUGACGCUCAUGCACGAAAGCGUGGGGAGCAAACAGGAUUAGAUACCCUGGUAGUCCACGCCCUAAACGAUGUCUACUAGUUGUCGGGUUUUAAUUAACUUGGUAACGCAGCUAACGCGUGAGUAGACCGCCUGGGGAGUCGGUCGCAAGNUUAAACGUUAAGGAAUUGACGGNNGNGNGNGCGAGACGACGACGAGGAGAG
rnacentral:rRNA from 1 species